UGCUUGUAUAUCACCUUCUACAUUUCAACUUCACGUAAGCUCGUUAUCCCUCUACUGCUUCUACGUUACGUGAGUUUCUGUCGCAUCUCGUGUCAAGGAUU